UUGCUGAGGACUUUUGCAGCUAUGUCCAUGAGGGAUAUAUGUUUGUGAUUUCAUUUCUGUUAUGUUCUUGUCUAGUUUUGGUAUCAGAGUAAUGUUGGCCUCAUUUAAGAGUUGGGAAUUAUUCACUCCUUAUCAAUUUUCUGGAAGAGUUUGUGUACAAUGGUAAUUCUUCUCUCAACGUUAGGGAAAAUUCACCAGUGAAGCCAUCCGUGCCUGGCGUUUUCUUUUGCGGAAGUUGAACAGGAUCUCAUAGAGAGCUCCAAGGGCUUAGGAAACUGGGAAGCUACCAGAUCAAAAGGUUUCUGGGUGCCUGAAGAAUGCCACAAUACUUUGGUGACCCACAUCUGAUAUAAGGUAACUCCUGUUGCUCCACAAAGAACGAAUUGAAGACCAGUAGGCUGAAGACGAGAGGAUUUUGAGGAGGUGUUGGCAGUAGUCCACCCAAAAGACUGAUCCGCUGGACAUGGAUGGUGAACGUGGGACUGGGGCUGCGUGAAUAGAUUGAAGAGAUGGUUAAGAGAAACAAAGGCAGGAGCAGGUGAGGGCUGUGAAGGUUUGUGGGCUGUGCCCCUGCGGAUGCAGCUGAUGAGCAUUUCUUCAGAGGGAAGCAUGGAAGUGUUCAGGUCUGAAAAAAGCACUGGAAAUUUGUAUUUCUAACCAGUUACCAAGAGCUACUGAUGCUGCUGCUCCGGGUAUCACAUUUUGAGAACCACUGAUCUGUAAGAUGGUCCAUGAAGUUGAUGCAAGUUGUAAUUUGAAGAUCUUUUCACUUGUUCAGUUAGCAGAGCUUCAGAGAAAACAGAAAACCAGUGCCAGGAAGG